rnacentral:rRNA from 1 species
UAAACUGGGAUUAGAUACCCCACUAUGCUUAGCCCUAAACUCAGAUAGUUCCUCGAACAAAUCUAUCCGCCAGAGAACUACUAGCAACAGCUUAAAACUCAAAGGACUUGGCGGUGCUUUACAUCCCUCUAGAGGAGCCUGUUCUAUAAUCGAUAAACCCCGAUACACCUCACCACCUCUCGCUAAAUCAGUCUAUAUACCGCCAUCUUCAGCAAACCCUAAAAAGGAAGAAUAGUAAGCACAAACAUCUUAACAUAAAAAAGUUAGGUCAAGGUGUAACCCAUGAGGUGGGAAGCAAUGGGCUACAUUUUCUAUAUCUAGAACAACCCUUUACGAAAGUCCUUAUGAAAUUAAGAACCAAAGGAGGAUUUAGUAGUAAAUUGAGAAUAGAGUGCUCAAUUGAAUAGGGCCAUGAAGCACGCACACACCGCCCGUCACCCU